UACGUAGGGGGCAAGCGUUGUCCGGAUUCAUUGGGCGUAAAGAGCGUGUAGGCGGCCAGGUAGGUCGGUUGUGAAAACUGGAGGCUCAACCUUCAGAGGUCGACCGAAACCAUCUGGCUAGAGUCCGGGAGAGGAGUGUGGAAUUCCUGGUGUAGCGGUGAAAUGCGCAGAUAUCAGGAAGAACACCCGUGGCGAAAGCGGCUCUCUGGAACGGUACUGACGCUGAGACGCGAAAGCGUGGGGAGCGAACAGG
rnacentral:rRNA from 1 species